GGUCUGUUUCUUUCAGGUUCCGGCGGUGUCUCAGGCGCAGAAGUCCUGCCGCUCCUGGGCCCUCCCCCACGGGAGCCCAGAGGCCUUAUACAGUUUCCUCUUGGGCCAGGGAUGUGGGCAGGGGUGAGCAGUGUUGGUGGUCUCUUCCGCUCUGCAGCCUCAGGAGUGCCCACCUGACCAGGCGGUUGGGUCUCUCUCUCACCGGGUCUGGGAGCAGAUAGCUGCUGCGGGCCGGGAUCCGCGGGUCCAAAGAACUAUUUCUACGCAGGUCCUCCUAUGCCCUGUUAACCUUUCUUUUCCACUACCUCGGGUGGAUGGUAAGCGAGAGGGGAGGUAAAAACAUUUAAGUACACUCAUUAAAGUAAGUAUGAAAAAUAGACCCCAAGGAGUAACCACUCAUUUUACCCACGCGUUCCCUGGUGUCCUCUCAUUUACCACCCUUAAAGGAAAGCGACAUAAAGCUUUUAGUCACCACCUCAACACCAGCACACACACACCUACAGGAAAGGGGCUAAGGAGAGACAUUGGGAAUAGAGAUUCACUGUUUUAGAAGCUGAGAGGGAAUCUAGAGCAAGGAGGUCAGACAGUCUCAGCAUCCUACUUCUGGAUCUCCCUGGCUCAACUGCACAUUCCUAUUCAAAGCCAUUUUAGAUCAGCAAGUACCUGUUUAAUUGACUAUACAUAUGUAGGAUGAUGUCAUUAUGCAGGCGAAGGCAGGUACAAAAUAGAACGAGGCCUGUCAUUGGACGAGAAGGAAGGAUGGGCAGGAGAAAAGUUUUAGGGAAGGGAGGAGACUGGAGAGAGGGGAUAACCAGUGGAGAGAACAUGGAGGCGGAUGUUAAGAUUCCUCUCUGCACAUUUAUAGGUUGUUAUAAAUAUUCUUAAGGGAUGGAUGUGUACAGGGCUUUGUAUGUCUAGAUGAGCGAAUUAUAUAUUAUCAAUUGGAUCAGAGGUUAUUUCGUUGUGUGUUCUUUCAUGUGGUGACUUAAGUUUAAGAGAGUGUGGUGGCUAGACACUUUAGCCCGCCACGAAAUUGGGAUGUGUAUGUCUGGCAUGGUGGCAACCUACCUUGGGAAGUAGACAGGUAGAGAGACUGUUACCAGGCUCAGAAAGAAGCCAUCCGCAGUGUGAUAUGGGAUAGAGCAAAGCAGGUGAGACGCUUUGCUGACUGAGAUGAAGAUAUCUACCAGAUAUCUUAGGGCACUAUGGUGUUGGAUCUAAUGCAGGGUAAAAGACAGCAUUUUUUUUUUUAUAAUUUUACAGCAACAUACAUACAUAAUCAAAAGAUACAGGACCAGCAAGAAAGCACAACUGGUAAAGAUACUUGCCACCACGAAUGCCUAUCUGAGUUUAAUCUCUGGAGCCCACCUGGUAUAACAGAAUUGUGUAGGGAAGUAUGAGAAAAAAAAUGAUCUGAGGGGUUGGGGAUUUAGCUCAGUGGUAGAGCGCUUGCCUAGCAAGCGCAAGGCCCUGGGUUCGGUCCUCAGCUCCGAAAGGAAAAAAAAAAUGAUCUGAGGUUAUUUUACAGAAAUAUGCUACGAACACCUUUCAUGUUACUCUCUGCUUUUUUAAAAAUAUUUAUUUAUUUUAUUUAUAUGGAUGUGUGUGUGUGUGUGUGUGUGUGUGUGUGUGUGUGUGUGUGCGCGCGCUGCAUGAGUUUAUGUGCACCGAAAAUAUGCAGAAACCUAGGGAGACCAGAAGAAGGUGCUAGAUCCCUGGGAACUGGGAUGUUAGAGGCAGUUGUGACCUGCCAUGUGGAUGAUGUAACAGAACUCAAGCCUUACAGGAGCAGCUUUGAGCCAUGUCUCUGCUAAAGGCUCUACUUUAUUACUUUAGAGGGGGAAAGCAACUAUGUGCUCCAAAUUUGUGAAACAACCUAAUAAAAUUAAUAUAUAAUAUCUGCUUAGCUAUUGGUUAUUUUAUUCAUAGAAUGUUAUCAAUACAUAGGAGAUAAAAAACCUAGAGGACUUCAACACUUCAUGCAAUAGUUUUUUUUCCAAAAGGAAAAGUUCUGAUGCCCAAGUAUGGUUUCAAGAGCAAUAGGCACAUGUCUACUCCAGUUCAGAAUGAAGUGGGAUUGGUUAUGACUCAUUAUUUAACAAACAGCAGAUCCAGUAGGACAACUGUAGGGGGACAUUUGUGGACUGUGCAGUUGUGGGCACUCUAAGCAAAACAAGAGAAACACGAAGGAGAAGCAUUGCUGGCACAAGCAGCAGACUGCGCAGACCACAGAGGAGUCCGGCUUUCAGGAAGACCCUUCGUUUGAUAUGAAUUUUGAAAAUGACACAGAAUGAAGAGAUUAGUGUAUCCAGAUCAAUACAGCCAUAAAUUCAAGCCAGACAGGUCAGAUACACUAGGAAAAUGCUUGUUUUAUAUACCUUUACCUCUGAAAAAUGCUUCAAUGAAUUUCUGAAAAGAAAAAAUUUUCAUGUUUUAAAAAUACAUGUAUGAUAUAUGCAUGCAUGUAUGUAUGUGUGUAUACAUGUAUGUAUGUAUGUAUGUAUGUAUUUAUAUUACUAUGAGUCAAACUGUGUCCUUACUGGGCACAAUAUAUUUUUUAGCUGACAUAAAGUAUAAUAUAUAUAUAUAUAUAUAUAUAUAUAUAUAUAUAUAUAUAUGACCUAAUGCGAAUUUAAUUAUCAGGUUAAUUAGCACAGCUCUUACCUCAGAUGUAUUUCUUUAUGUUAGGGACAUUCUCCUUUCUCAAUGACUUUGAAAUAUGCACUUAACGAUUAUCAGCCCUGGUUCUUCUUCCUACCUGAGUGCACCCCUGUGUCCACUGACUGUGCUCUUUACAUCCCUUUCCAGGCUGGAGACCUGCAGCAAAGCUCUGUGUGCUUUCCAAACCCCAAGCUGAUUCCCCCGAGUGAAGAGCCUUUUACAACUGUCAUUCUCAAUAUCACCACCUUGUCUACUGUGGCACUUCAUGUUUUAAAUUCCCCAAAAGGCCCAUGUGCUUGAGACUUGAUCCUGGACAUGUAAAGCCAUUAGGGGACCUUUGGGUAAGUAGAACAAAAUUGGCAUACGCUGGGAUAUGGUGACCCUGGAUUUCUCUUCUUUAUCACAUCUUGGCCACUGUGAAGGAUGCACACCACCAGGACAUGCUACCUCACCAUUAGCCCCACAACCACGAGCUAAUUAACAAUGGACUGACACUUCCAAUUGUGUCUUUUCACCGGGAAAUUGAAACAAACAUCUAUUCACCCCAGAUACUGCACCAAUGACAGAACUGCAGUCCCACUGAAGUCCAACUUUGAAAACCUAGGAAUUUAUUUAUAUUUACCUAUAGAGUAUGGGUAAGUUAGGUGUCUACAAAAUAGAUGUCACCCUCAUGGCUGUGUCAUGGACUCCCCUCUCAACCCUCCAUUCUCCAUAUAUUCUAGCACCUCCCAACCUCAUUUGCAGGAAGGAAUAAUGGCUGGGUUUCCGGAUGAGGGUCCUUUGACUUCCUGUCUGCCAUUCUAUAAGGAAAUGUCCACAGCUCCAUUGUCAUAAUCAUAGACAUAGCUACCUCUGGACUGGUCCACUCGAUUACUUGCCAGAGCUACCAAGCCAUGGUAACUCAACUCUAAGAUGGCAAUGGGGUAAGCUUGUUAUACCUAGAAGAAAAGAAACUAAAAUCAACUUCUCUCCUUUGAGGUUGAUUAUCUUACGUAUAGUAACAGGAAGCUGACCUACUUUCUCCUUGUCUAAAGGGGUCAGCUUGCCUUCCCUGGGUAGAUGCUAAAUGCUGUUCCUCAAGUUCCUGAUUCCACUUUUCUUUCUCCCCAGCAGUGUCUUUUGGGGCUUUCAGAUUAAUCAGCUUCCAUUUCAGAACCUGCUACUCCUCUGUUCCCUUCCCGUCGAGUCAUAGGACAAACUCCAUGAUAGUGUGUUCCUUUCCCAAACAUCUCCAGCCUGUGAUGUCUUCCCUUCAGCUGCCAGCGAGAGUCCUGUUAACCAGCCAAUCUUGAAAUUCCUCUGAAGACAGAUAAGAAACACAUUUGCUCUUGAAACAGCUCCCCGGCACAUUUAAAUGUACCCAUUCUGUUGCUUUCUGUUUGCUCAGAGCCUUGGCUAUAGGAUGGAGACCGAGUUUCAGUGACAGAUGGUGGAGGAUAAUCUUUCAUUUUGUCAUAAAGGUAACCCUCUGAGGAGCCUGGAAAAGACUUUCCACUUGGAAAAUCUGGCUGAAUAAGGCAUGUUUGUAACCAGAUGGAAAGGGGGGAAAGGCUCUUUUUCUAUUUUUCAAGCUAGAGGGCUUACAUGCCUUUACUUUUAGGCGAACCUCACUAUGACAAUCUGUCCUCUGCACUCAGAUUUAUUUGUGACACCAUCAGUGCCUGUGCAUGUUAAUUAAUGAUGAUUGCACUGUGCUUGAACCCCAGCAAUAAAUAAGAAAAUGAGGCUAUUAAAGAUAAUCCAAUAAACAAACCCAUGAAAA